CGACAAAAUCAGUCACACAUCUAAACUCACAUCCCUGAGUUUAGGACUCUUUUCUGAAGGUUCUGGUUGGUCAACCCACAUAGCCGUCUACCACCUUCCUAGCCACACAUUCUCUCUACUGUUACAGAGUUCUUUGGGAAUCCAAAUCAUUCUUCCUGUAUGAGGCACAGCAAUGAUCUUCCUCCAUUUAGGGACAAAACCUAUUCUUCUGCUUGUCACAUGCCCAGUGGUUUAGAAAUCAAAUUUUGUUGCUUGAACAGGUACUUUGGAUUUCACUGUUCACCCUAUGUAGCCAGUUAAAAAUACUUCUCUAUGAAGAAGUAUGAAGAAGUCUGAUGCCAGCUACAAAGGUAACAAUAAAUUUUUUGUUACUCUCCAGACAAGUCAUAAAUUAUGAAAUGAAAAUAACGUGAGCUGCUAGGGAGAGGGUGAGAGCUGAAAGAGAGAGGGAAGAAAGGGCUUGAGUCGCACUGUCAGUGCCACUGAUCAUCCAGCCAAGCAAAUGGAGCGGAGCCAUUGAUGGGGAGCUUGUGAGUUAGGUGCUCGAUCUGGGUGUCUGUGGGGUCGGUCUGCCGACAGGGUAGAGAGUGGAUGUGUUGGGGGAGAGCCUAGACAAAGGAUGGGAGUAUUCUGAGCUGAGGCCGUCAUACUAGUUGAGGACAGAGUGGAUGAGGGUUAACGUGCCAGUGACAGGUACUGCAGGGGCAGCCAGGAUGUGACAUCUAGGAGUCAGGGGAUUCAGAAACAUCCACAGCCUAUUUUAAAACUCAAACACUUGUGAAGUUCAACAGAGAGCAACUCUUCAAAUUUCACAGCCUUGCGGCCUCAUUAACUGAUGUGUAAAUUUUCCUAAUUAAGGCAAGGGAUAUGGGUAAUAAGAAAAUAACGCGAUGGGUUAUUCAAAACCCAGUUGAUGGGUUUUGAAAUCCAUUUUGAACAUUAUUUCACAUGCUUUAAUUUCUUCAGAAGCCUAUCUGGUUUGAUCAUUUGGGAUAGUCACUAAAAUCUUCUUAGGUCUUUUUGUGGUCUCCACGUUUCUUUUUUUUUUUUUAUUUAUUUAUUUAUUUAUUUAUUUAUUUAUUUAUUUAUUUAUUUUUACAAUAUUUAUUUAUUUUGAAAGAGAGAGACAGAGACAGACCACGAGCAGGGGAAGGGCAGAGAGAGACAGAGAGAGAGAACAUCCCAAGCAGGCUCUGCACCGUCAGUAUGGAGCCCGAUGUGGUGCUUGAACCCACAAACAGUUGAGUUCACGACUUGAGCUGAAACCAAGAGCCAGACGCUCAACUGACUGAGCCACCCAGGCACCCCUCAAUGCAUCUUUUUAAAAUAAAAUUUUAAAGCUCAUUUAUUAUUUCUUUUUAGUAAUCUGUACACCCAACGUGGGGCUCGAUCUUCAUGACCCCGAGAUCAAGAGUUGCAUGCUCUUCCGACUGAGCUAGCCAGGUGCGCUUGGUGAAGUCUGGAAUUAAACAACAAGCGAGACAAGAUGGUGCAAGUCGAUAUUGCCGGCGUUGGAGAUUUCUGUGCUACCCCGAAAAACUCAAAAGGAGGUCUGAGUUAUAAAUAAAUGCUUAUUUAUAAGGACACUGAUAAAUUGCAGGCAUUAUGUGGAAGAGGACGGCACAAAGGGUACAGGCAGAGACGUCAUCACCAGAAAGGAACAGCCUGCAGAGUAGACCAGGACUUUGCUACUCAAAGUGCAGUCCAUGGACCAGCAGCAUUGGCUUCUGGGAGCUUAAUGCAGAAUCUCAGGCCCCCACCCCAGACCUGCUGAGUCGGAGUCUGCAUUUUCACAGGCUUAUUUGUGUGCAUAUUACAGUUUGCGCUGAAGAGAGAAGAGCAGUGCUGUUAGGAACAAGGAUGGCCAAACCCCAAGAUCGACUAAAAAGAUGACUGAAGAUAAGCUGGCUAUUUUGCCAAGGACACUUCUGGAGCAACGUUUUAUUCACUGAUUCCCAAAGCAGGUUGGGCAUCUGCCUCACUAUUUACAAAUACAUAUUUCCAGAUCAUACCCCAGAGAUGCCACUGAUUCUGCCGAUCUGAGGAGGGGCCCAAGAACCUCCAUGUUUAGCAAGCACCUAUAUGAUUCUCCUGAAGCUGGUUGUUACGUGGAUCUCCUAUAGAUCACUCUGUCCCAGCUAGCUCCCACUACCACUGGUUCUAUGCUGCCAUCAUCAUUUCAUGUCAGGAUCGGAUUGCUGAGUAGCCCGGUGACAUUCUUGAAUCCACGGCCACCUUCAGACCUACUGACUACGAAGACUUGAAAUUAUAGACCUACAUUACAUUCGGCGUUUCCUCAAAAGGGCCAACCAAAGGAGAACAGUGCAGGGACCAAGACUGUGAAUUCUCCAGCCAAACCGCCUACUUCGAAUCCUACCAGCCCCUUGCAAACGAUGAGACCUUGGGCGAGUUAUCCAGAGUCCCUGUGCCUCAGGUUGCCACAUAGAAAACUGGAUGAUCGUAACACCUAUACCAAAUAGCUGUUGAGGGGAUUAAAUGAGAAAAUCCAGGGUUGCGUAUCUAGUAGAUAGCAUUGUCAACCUGCUCCCCAAAUAGUCCCUCUACCUAGAAACCUGCAAGGGAGCACGCGGAGGCCCAACUGCCCAGACCCCGUCCUCCUUGGCCUCCUGGGUACCCCGGUUUCUUCACUCUUUGCAGAGGAAUUGGCAUCCAAGCGGGGACACUGUUCUGGAGCAUAGCCCAUUCGAUGAGGAUGUGUUUUUCUGCUUCUUCCUGCUAACCUCAUCUUUCAGGAUCUAGAAUUCACCACAGUUUUGUCCAUUUUCUUUCCAAAAGGAAGUCUUGCAAGGACUCUAACAUGCCCACAAUCAAACGUGACCUGAACUUCCAAUGGCCCUGCCCUUCCCUGCCCCUGCCCGAGUCCCCUCUCGUCUGGUAGUCUCUGACCUAGAACCCGUUGGGAUGGGUCUUCCUCCUUGGUAAGUCCUGUCCCCUUCUGCAGAUGCCUGCCGGAUCUCUUGCCCCUCACAUGGCUUUUGUGGCAUUAAGGGGGAAAUGGGAGUAGGACGUGCAGUGGGGAGGGGAUGGUGGAAAUCGAAUCUUUUUUUCUUUUGAAAUUUUUAAAUGUCUUAUUAUUUAUUUAUUUAAUUUUAUUUUUGAUUUUUUAAAACUUAUAUCCAAAUUAGCAUAAUGUGCAACAAUGAUUUCAGGAGUAGAUUCCUUAGUGCCCCUUCCCCAUUUAGCCCAUCCCCCCUUUCACAACCCCUCCCGUAACUCUCAGUUUGUUCUCCAUAUUUAAGAGUCUCUUCUGUUUUGUGCCCCUCCCUGUUUUUACAUUAUUUUUGCUUCCCUUCCCUUAUGUUCAUCUGUUUUGUCUCUUAAAGUCCUCAUAUGAGUGAAGUCAUAGGAUAUUUGUCUUUCUCUGACUGACUCAUUUCGCUUAGCGUAAUACCCUCCAGUUCCAUCCACAUAGUUGCAAAUGGCAAGAUUUCAUUCUUUUUGAUUGCUAAUACUCCACUGUAUAUAUAUACCACAUCUUCUUUUUUUUUUAAUUUUUUUUCUUAACAUUUUAUUUAUUUUUGAGACAGGGAGAAACAGAGCAUGAACGGGGGAGGGUCAGAGAGAGGGAGACACAGAAUCUGAAACAGGCUCCAGGCUCUGAGCUGUCAGCACAGAGCCCGACGCGGGGCUCGAACUCACGGACAACAAGAUCAUGACCUGAGCCGAAGUCGGCCGCUCAACCGACUGAGCCACCCAGGCGCCCCCACAUCUUCUUUAUCCAUUCAUCCAUCGAUGGCCAUUUGGGCUCUUUCCAUACUUUGGCUAUUGUGGAUAGUGCUGCCAGAAACAUGGGGAUGCACACGUCCCUUCGAAACAGCACACCUGUAUCCCGUGGAUACAUGCCUAGUAGUGCCAUUGCUGGGUCAUAGGGUAGUUCUAUUUUUAGUUUUUUGAGGAACUUCCAUACUGUUUUCCAGAGUGGCUGCACCAGCUUGCAUUCCCAACGUUUUAUUUAUUUUUGAGAGAGACAGAGACAGGGUGUGAGUGGGGGAGGGGCAGAGAGAGAGGGAAUCACAGAAUCCGAAGCAGGCUCCAGGCUCUGAGCCGUCAGCACAGAGCCCGACGCGGGGCUCGAACUCACGAACCGUGAGAUCGUGACCUGAGCCGAAGUCAGAGGCUUCACCGACGGAGCCACCCAGGCGCCCCAGAAUUCGAAUCUUAAAAGACAGAACAAACGAGCACUGAGCCCCCAUCUUCUCCACGAAACAUCCAUGGGAGUCUCGAGAUUGCAGAACGGUGGCGGUCGUCUGCUAACUGGGAGGGCUGUUUCUCAUACCAAAAACAUGAUGCCAGAGAACUUGUGGGCCACGUUUGAAAAAGCCAUCCUAAAGUGAUAUUUACAUUAGGGGAAAAGCAUGAAAAUGCUGCUGUGAAUCCUGUUCAGCUGGUUAUAAGGUGGACCGUGGUUGGAGUUUGAACCUUGAUGAUUUAAACAGAGAUGCUUGAGAAAAGCAAGCAAAAAGCGAUGUGAAUCCAAAGGUGUCCCCCACGUAGGCUACGGAGCAGUAAAGGGGAUUCAUAGGACAGAGUGUAGAAAAC